rnacentral:rRNA from 2 species
AACGGCGAGUGAAGAGGAAAGAGCUCAAAGUUGGAACCUGUUUGGCCUAGCUAAACCGGAUUGUAGACUGUAGAAGUGUUUUCCAGGCAAGCCGAGUAAAUAAGUCCUUUGGAACAGGGCAUCAUAGAGGGUGAGAAUCCCGUCUUUGGCUUGAGCAUUUGCCUUUUGUGAUACGCUUUCAAAGAGUCAGGUUGUUUGGGAAUGCAGCCUAAAUUGGGUGGUAAAUCUCACCUAAAGCUAAAUAUUGGCGAGAAACCGAUAGCGAACAAGUACCGUGAGGGAAAGAUGAAAAGAACUUUGAAAAGAGAGUUAAACAGUAUGUGAAAUUGUUAAAAGGGAACCGUUUGGAGCCAGACUGGCUUGUCUGUAAUCAAUCUAGGCUUCGGCCUGGAUGCACUUGCAGGCUAUGCCUGCCAACGACAAUUUGACUUGAGGGAAAAAACUAAGGGAAAUGUGGCCCACUUGUGGGUGUUAUAGUCCCUUAGAAAAUACCUUGGGUUGGAUUGAGGAACGCAGCGAAUGCUUUUUGGCGAGUUUUCCAGGAAGGUUUUCUGAGGUACUACGGUAUCAAGGUUGAUCUUUUUGGUUAUACUUCUAUUCGCUUAGGUUGUUGGCUUAAUGACUCUAAAUGACCCGUCUUGAAACACGGACCCAGGAGUCCACCAUUAUUGCGAGUAUUUGGGUGCCAAACCCAUAUGCGUAAGGAAACUGAUUGAUACGAAUCCAUUAAGGAGGCAGUAUCGUCCGGCGCUGACGUUUUAUACUGAAUUGACCGAGACAAAGCACUAAUGAUGGGACCCGAAAGAUGGUGAACUAUGCCUGAAUAGGGUGAAGCCAGAGGAAACUCUGGUGGAGGCUCGUAGCGAUUCUGACGUGCAAAUCGAUCGUCAAAUUU